rnacentral:rRNA from 1 species
GACGAACGCUGGCGGCGUGCCUAAUACAUGCAAGUUGAGCGCUGAAGGUUGGUACUUGUACCAACUGGAUGAGCAGCGAACGGGUGAGUAACGCGUGGGGAAUCUGCCUUUGAGCGGGGGACAACAUUUGGAAACGAAUGCUAAUACCGCAUAAAAACUUGAAACACAAGGGUUAAGGGUGAAAGAUGCAAUUGCAUCACUCAAAGAUGAUCCCGCGUUGUAUUAGCUAGGUGGUGAGGUAAAGGCUCACCAAGGCGAGGAUACAUAGCCGACCUGAGAGGGUGAGCGGCCACCUUGGGACGGUGACCCGGCCCAAUGUCCUACGGGAGGCAGCCGUAGGGCAUCGGCGGCGAUGGGCGGAAGUUUGACCGCGCAACGCCGCGUGCGUGUAGAAGGUUGUCGGGUCGUGAAUCUCUGUUGGUAGGGAAGAACGUUGGUGAGAGUGGAAAGAUCAGCAAGUGACGGUAACUACUCAGAAAGGGACGGCUAACUACGUG